rnacentral:antisense_RNA from 1 species
AUUGGGCAGCUGCUUCUACAUUGAUUAACCCUUUUCCAUAGUAGAAAGAGCUUCCAAGGUAUGUUGCAGUGCUUUCUAAACGAUCACGGACUUGCGCGUUUGUCCAAGUCGGGUGCUUAGAAAGAAUUAAAGCUGCUGCUCC